rnacentral:snoRNA from 1 species
GCUACAUGAUGAUACCCCUGUGACUGAGCACUCUGUAAUUGGUCCACAGGUGUGUAUAUGAUGUACUGGAUUGUUUCAAGACGGGACUGAUGGCAGC